UCGACCAGAACCAGGAAACAAGAGGGGAUUUCCCUCAAACCCUAAAAUUCACCAAAAUUCAUCAAUUGAAGGUGCAAAUCGAGUCCAAAUUGAAAUCUGAAUAUAGAUUUGUGAUCACCUUGACUAAGGGAUCGUAAGGCAAUACGAGUGAGGCGUCGGGGAGUCAAGCCGGUACGGACGCUCGCUUAAAGGGAAAGCUUUAAGGCAAUACGAGUGAGGCGUCGGGGAGUCAAGCCGGUACGGACGCUCGCUUAAAGGGAAAGCUUUAAGAUUCCAAGUAAGUCAAUCAAGCGGAUGGUGAUCAACUCAAGGCUUAUGAACCGAACACUUUCAAGAAGAUGAUCUUCACUUUUGUUUUAGGAGUUCAUUUUGUGAAAACUUUUGUAAUGAAAGAAUUACUUAUGUGUCCUUAAAGUUU